ACUCAAAUGAAUAGACGGGGGCCCGCACAAGCGGUGGAGUAUGUGGUUUAAUUCGAUGCAACGCGAAGAACCUUACCAAGGCUUGACAUCCCGGGAACCCGCCUGAAAGGGCGGGGUGCUCUUCGGAGAGCCCGGAGACAGGUGGUGCAUGGCUGUCGUCAGCUCGUGUCGUGAGAUGUUGGAUUAAGUUCCGCAACGAGCGCAACCCUCGUGGGAUGUUGCCAGCACGUGAUGGUGGGCACUCAUCCAAGACUGCUGCAGCAAUGUGGAGGAAGGUGGGGAUGACGUCAAGUCAGCAUGCCCCGUACGCCUUGGGCUACACACAUACUACAAUGCCAGGUGCAAACGGACGCCAACCCGUGAGGGGGAGCUAAUCUGAAAAUGCCUGGCUCAGUGCGGAUUGCAGGCUGCAACUCGCCUGCAUGAAGUCGGAAUCGCUAGUAACCGUCGGUCAGCAUUACGACGGUGAAUACGUUCCCGGGCCUUGUACACACCGCCCGU
rnacentral:rRNA from 1 species